ensembl:snRNA U6 U6 spliceosomal RNA
GUGCUCAUUUUGGCAGCACAGAUACUAAAAUUGGAAUGAUACAGAGAUUAUCAUGGUCCUUGUGCAGGGAUGGCAUGCAAAUUCAUAAAGGACUCCAUAUUCUU